rnacentral:lncRNA from 1 species
CAGAGGAGGACUCGUGUCAGAGUGGGGUUAAGAGUCAGCCUCUCAGGACAAGAGAUGUCAUCCUGAGACCCUAGGCUGGUGGUAGUUACUGGGUGAAGGGUGAGGACGAGGGUUUCAGGCAGAGGGCAUCACCUUUGGGAAGACACGGAGGUAGGAGAGAGCACGAGCAUUUGGGCGAGAAGGAAGUACAUAAGUGGUCUUAUCUUUUUUUUUUUUUUGAGGAAGAUUAGCCCUGAGCUAACUACUGCCAGUCCUCCUCUUCUUGAUGAGGAGGCCCGGCCCUGAGCUAACAUCGUGCCCAUCUUCCUCUGCUUUAUAUGUGGGAUGCCUACCACAGCAUGGCGUGCCAAGUGGUGCCAUGUCCACACCCAGGAUCCGAACCGGCGAACCCUGGGCCGCCGAGAAGUGGAAUGUGUGAACUUAACUGCUGUGCCACCGGGCCGGCCCGGACUCUUUCUGACUCUCCUCUUCUGAGCAUGUGGGAGGGUUGCCCUGAGCACCUGGGACGGUUCCAUAUGACUAGUUCUGGCCAAUGAGUUGUGAAAGGAAGUGAUGUGUGCCACUUCUAGGCUCAAGGUGAAGUGAGCCUAACUUAAUUGUCAGUGUGAAACCUUCCACGGCAGUCCUUCCUUCCAACACAGCGACUGACAGCUUUCAAAAUGGCGGCUACUCCAACGGCUUGGGACCCCAAGUGACUGUGAUGAGCAGAGCCCCGGGUCAACGCUCACUGGCCAUAUAUUCCACAGGAUCUGGUGUCAUCGAAGACGUAGGCCCGGGAGUGAAUUCUGCCUGGUCAGGGGGGCAAGCAGAGUCCAGGAGCGCUGCCGGGACCCCUGAAGGGCCCAGAAGACUUGGGAGCUGCAGAAUCGGAUGGCUGAGCAGCCUUUGAACUGGUUUAGGUCCAAGCCUGUUGACACCAACACAGUCAACACCUCCUCAGUGCAUCAUGUGAUGCUAAGACAGGUUCACAAGUGAGCUCAAGGGCCGGGGUGCCCAGGCUUGGGCUCCACUCCCCAAAGUCCCACAGAUACCUCC